rnacentral:lncRNA from 1 species
UUACAGAAUCGGCCGAAGAUCAAGUUGAUGCAGCCCCGCCAACCCGUAUGAACUCGUGAAAAAGAAGAAAAGUAUUAGCGAAGUCGCCUGCUCGAAAGUAAGUGCGAGGAAAUAGUAGUUUGUUGUAGUGCUUUGGUGGUGAUUACAGAUCUAUGAAGGUGGCUAUUUAUAGCCUGUUAAAAAUGAUUUCUUAACCGACUAGAACUCUAUCUCUAAUUUUAAACAAAAACGAAUAUUUACAAGUACGAUUCGUACUCGAGUUGAUCAUCAUGCUCUCAUGGGCUGACUCCCUCUUUAUCUUCAUAGUCCACUUUAAGCCCAUACCAGCCCAAUUGCUCCAGCCCCCUAAUCGGCCGAUUGCUACCAACUCCAUCAACAAAAGACAGCCGAGUACAGUACACCCGUGUCCCUCAGAAGACGAGUACUCAAACAGCAUUACGACUACCCGACACUCGGGACUACUACAAGCCAAGCUUAGCCCACUUGUCGGGGGCCCCGACUACUCCGACCCUGGGACCUAAGGUCGGGCGAGGCGGAGUUCCACCGCCGAAGGGUCGGGCGCCUCCGACCCCAGGACUCGGGGUCGGGCGAGGUAGAGUUCCACCCUCGAAGGGUCGGGCACAUCCGACCCUAGGACUCGGGGGUCGGGCGAGGCGUAGUUCCACCCUCGAAGGGCAAUCAGCCGAUCCUCAACUGUAGCACCAAUCGGCCGAUUUCCAACCGUGACCUUUGUGUCUUG